rnacentral:rRNA from 1 species
CCCAGAGUCUGAAUCAGCUUGUGUGUUAGUGGAACGGUCUGGAAAGUCCGACGGUACAGGGUGAUAGUCCCGUACACCAAAAUGCACAGGUUGUGAACUCGAAGAGUAGGGCGGGACACGUGGUAUCCUGUCUGAAUAUGGGGGGACCAUCCUCCAAGGCUAAAUACUCCUGACUGACCGAUAGUGAACCAGUACCGUGAGGGAAAGGCGAAAAGAACCCCGGCGAGGGGAGUGAAAAAGAACCUGAAACCGUGUACGUACAAGCAGUGGGAGCACCUUCGGGUGUGACUGCGUACCUUUUGUAUAAUGGGUCAGCGACUUAUAUUCUGUAGCAAGGUUAACCGUAUAGGGGAGCCGCAGGGAAACCGAGUCUUAACUGGGCGUUAAGUUGCAGGGUAUAGACCCGAAACCCGGUGAUCUAGCCAUGGGCAGGUUGAAGGUUGGGUAACACUAACUGGAGGACCGAACCGACUAAUGUUGAAAAAUUAGCGGAUGACUUGUGGCUGGGGGUGAAAGGCCAAUCAAACCGGGAGAUAGCUGGUUCUCCCCGAAAGCUAUUUAGGUAGCGCCUCGUGAACUCAUCUUCGGGGGUAGAGCACUGUUUCGGCUAGGGGGUCAUCCCGACUUACCAACCCGAUGCAAACUACGAAUACCGAAGAAUGUUAUCACGGGAGACACACGGCGGGUGCUAACGUCCGUCGUGAAGAGGGAAACAACCCAGACCGCCAGCUAAGGUCCCAAAGUCAUGGUUAAGUGGGAAACGAUGUGGGAAGGCACAGACAGCCAGGAUGUUGGCUUAGAAGCAGCCAUCAUUUAAAGAAAGCGUAAUAGCUCACUGGUCGAGUCGGCCUGCGCGGAAGAUGUAACGGGGCUAAACCAUGCACCGAAGCUGCGGCAGCGACACUAUGUGUUGUUGGGUAGGGGAGCGUUCUGUAAGCCUGCGAAGGUGUGCUGUGAGGCAUGCUGGAGGUAUCAGAAGUGCGAAUGCUGACAUAAGUAACGAUAAAGCGGGUGAAAAGCCCGCUCGCCGGAAGACCAAGGGUUCCUGUCCAACGUUAAUCGGGGCAGGGUGAGUCGACCCCUAAGGCGAGGCCGAAAGGCGUAGUCGAUGGGAAACAGGUUAAUAUUCCUGUACUUGGUGUUACUGCGAAGGGGGGACGGAGAAGGCUAUGUUAGCCGGGCGACGGUUGUCCCGGUUUAAGCAUGUAGGCUGGUUAUCCAGGCAAAUCCGGAUAAUCAAGGCUGAGGUGUGAUGACGAGGCACUACGGUGCUGAAGUAACAAAUGCCCUGCUUCCAGGAAAAGCCUCUAAGCAUCAGGUAACAUCAAAUCGUACCCCAAACCGACACAGGUGGUCAGGUAGAGAAUACCAAGGCGCUUGAGAGAACUCGGGUGAAGGAACUAGGCAAAAUGGUGCCGUAACUUCGGGAGAAGGCACGCUGGUGUGUAGGUGAAGUCCCUGCGGAUGGAGCUGAGACCAGUCGAAGAUACCAGCUGGCUGCAACUGUUUAUUAAAAACACAGCACUGUGCAAACACGAAAGUGGACGUAUACGGUGUGACGCCUGCCCGGUGCCGGAAGGUUAAUUGAUGGGGUUAUCCGUAAGGAGAAGCUCUUGAUCGAAGCCCCGGUAAACGGCGGCCGUAACUAUAACGGUCCUAAGGUAGCGAAAUUCCUUGUCGGGUAAGUUCCGACCUGCACGAAUGGCGUAAUGAUGGCCAGGCUGUCUCCACCCGAGACUCAGUGAAAUUGAACUCGCUGUGAAGAUGCAGUGUACCCGCGGCAAGACGGAAAGACCCCGUGAACCUUUACUAUAGCUUGACACUGAACAUUGAGCCUUGAUGUGUAGGAUAGGUGGGAGGCUUUGAAGCGUGGACGCCAGUCUGCGUGGAGCCAACCUUGAAAUACCACCCUUUAAUGUUUGAUGUUCUAACGUUGGCCCCUUACCGGGGUUGCGGACAGUGUCUGGUGGGUAGUUUGACUGGGGCGGUCUCCUCCCAAAGCGUAACGGAGGAGCACGAAGGUUAGCUAAUCCUGGUCGGACAUCAGGAGGUUAGUGCAAUGGCAUAAGCUAGCUUGACUGCGAGCGUGACGGCGCGAGCAGGUGCGAAAGCAGGUCAUAGUGAUCCGGUGGUUCUGAAUGGAAGGGCCAUCGCUCAACGGAUAAAAGGUACUCCGGGGAUAACAGGCUGAUACCGCCCAAGAGUUCAUAUCGACGGCGGUGUUUGGCACCUCGAUGUCGGCUCAUCACAUCCUGGGGCUGAAGUAGGUCCCAAGGGUAUGGCUGUUCGCCAUUUAAAGUGGUACGCGAGCUGGGUUUAGAACGUCGUGAGACAGUUCGGUCCCUAUCUGCCGUGGGCGCUGGAGAAUUGAGGGGGGCUGCUCCUAGUACGAGAGGACCGGAGUGGACGCAUCACUGGUGUUCGGGUUGUCAUGCCAAUGGCACUGCCCGGUAGCUAAAUGCGGAAGAGAUAAGUGCUGAAAGCAUCUAAGCACGAAACUUGCCCCGAGAUGAG